UGGCAAUGAUGAAAAAAAGGCCGGUCUUACAGCUGUCUUGGGUUCAAUCCCAAUUUGGUAGUAGAAUGAUACAAAACUUUCAGAAGGUGUUUUCUGAGCCAU